UACAGAGGUGGCAAGCGUUGUUCGGAAUUACUGGGCGUAAAGGGCGCGUAGGCGGCCUUCUAAGUCAGACGUGAAAUCCCCCGGCUUAACCUGGGAACUGCGUCUGAUACUGGAGGGCUUGAGUAUGGGAGAGGGAUGUAGAAUUCCAGGUGUAGCGGUGAAAUGCGUAGAUAUCUGGAGGAACACCGGUGGCGAAGGCGGGUCUCUGGGCCGAUACUGACGCUGAGGAGCGAAAGCGUGGGGAGCGAACAGG
rnacentral:rRNA from 1 species